AUUGAACGCUGGCGGCAGGCCUAACACAUGCAAGUCGAGCGGAUGAAGGGAGCUUUCUCCUGGAUUCAGCGGCGGACGGGUGAGUAAUGCCUAGGAAUCUGCCUGGUAGUGGGGGAUAACGUCCGGAAACGGGCGCUAAUACCGCAUACGUCCUGAGGGAGAAAGUGGGGGAUCUUCGGACCUCACGCUAUCAGAUGAGCCUAGGUCGGAUUGGCUAGUUGGUGGGGUAACGGCCUACCAAGGCGACGAUCCGUAACUGGUCUGAGAGGAUGAUCAGUCACACUGGAACUGAGACACGGUCCAGACUCCUACGGGAGGCAGCAGUGGGGAAUAUUGGACAAUGGGCGAAAGCCUGAUCCAGCCAUGCCGCGUGUGUGAAGAAGGUCUUCGGAUUGUAAAGCACUUUAAGUUGGGAGGAAGGGCAGUAAGUUAAUACAUUGCUGUUUUGACGUUACCAACAGAAUAAGCACCGGCUAACUUCGUG
rnacentral:rRNA from 1 species